UGGGGGCGCGCGCGCGGUGUUUUGAAUUACAAAAACAACAGCUACAGCAAUGGGAGAGCCGUGUCGGGGAACAAAGGAGGGUUGAAAUUUAAUUAGCCAGCUGGCUGACGACUGCCGCAAACCGGAAUUAGCCGCUCGGCGAGCCUGUCGCUAUCCACGAAGAAGAAUGUUUUUUAAGAAAGUGCAACCACGAGCCACAAAAAGAAAGUUGAGCGUAGUUCAGCCAUGUAAAAACAGAAAUACACCAUUUCAGUCGAAAUUAUUAGUCAGAUGAACAAGAGUAACUACAUUUAUUGUCUCCCUGCCGAAACAUUAAUUUUCCCCGUUUGAUAUUUUCGCCGGUAUUCGUGUCCGUGAAGACAGAUAGUUAAAGCCGUGCGCUUCGCUGAGCCAGACGGCCCCCAGCCAGCCGUGGCGUACCACGCCGGUGACACCUCUCCGCGCCGGCCCACAUGGCGCGCAGCGGGAAAGCGCCUGUCAGCUGCCGCUUCCUCCCGCCCUCUGUUUUGAUGCUAUGAAGAAACGGGUGGGGCUUCCAGUAGCCAGUGGUUAACUGACUCUCACCCCCCAGGAGAAACACCGAAACGUGUCAUUAAAGCCGUCGCAAAGCACUGUUAGCUGAAGCAGCCUAUUGGCACACACACUGAAAUUCCUUGAAAAUGGCUAAUAAAGCACAACAGAAAUUUAAGUCACUUGAUUGGGUCAUGUGGCAUCUUUGAAAACAGGAGUUUGCUUGCAUGCAGAACAAAGCCAGGAAAAAGGCCAUACACAGCACUGGAGCUAAUCCGUUCUCUGCCCUCCAGUCCAGCACACCACAGGAAGUAAGGCAAUCUGUCUGUGUUUAUCUCUUGUCCUGAGCUGAUGGGGUCUCGCAGAGUCCAGCAACCAGACGCCAUCAGAGCGCCAAACCAGCAAGCCCAAACUGUUACACGGCCUUCCCAUCUGUCGGUGCUGAGCAACACUCAAGUCUUCAGAUGAGUCAAACAUGAGGAAAUAGUUUUUUGAACGCAUUGCACAAUUUUGGGGUGCUGCAUUAUUUUAUUUGGAACUGUUUAUGUGUAGAUUUGCUUUAACCAUCAGUCCAAAAUGUUGUGUUUUGGUUUUGCAGUGUUAAGUACACCCCUUUAGAUUCUCAUUCAUGGUAUUUUAUGGCACCAGACAUCCCCCACAGCCAGCGCUACUUAUUAUGAAAGGACAGUUCUCUUUGUAUACGUAAUUUUUUUCCAUAUUAAUUGCUGGAUCAUGGAUUGGUAUGGUGAUGCGGCGAUUAGCACUUUUGCUUCACACUUGCAGGGAUGUGUGUAAGGAGUUUGCGUGUUCUCCCCGUGUUGUCAUGGGGUCCCCCCCACAGUCCAGAAAUAUGGUGAGGUUAUUUGGAGUUAUCAAAUUGCCCAUAGGUGUGAAAGGUAUGUGAGUGUGCCAUUUGAUGGGCUGGUGCCCCAUCUUGGGUUGUUCACUGCCUGUAGCCUCUGGACCCCCUGUGACCCUGAAUAUGGCAAGCAGUUAUGGAAGAUGGAUGGAUGCUAGAUUGCUUCUCUGUAUGCUUCGAAUGUGGCAUUAUGGCUCAGCUGGCAGCCUUUUUACACCAAAGCUUCUGUGUGUGGGCGAUUUUGCACGUUCUUCCUGUGUUACAAUGAAACAAACUGCUAUUUAGGUGAACUAGUGAAUCUGAAAACAGUUCUCUUCUUGUGGAUUAAGUCUAACAGGUAUCCUUCCUGUAUUUUCAAUAUGGCUGUAAGCUUGAAUGGCACUUGUAAGGAACCUGAAAAUUAAUAUUCUUAAUGACAAACACCUGGUUUUAAAACGCAACUUCUGAGUCAUGUUUAAGGUGGCACGCUUUUCGUUAACUGGUAAGACAAGACCUGUAGGAAACACAAGUGGCAGAGUUAAGAAAUUCUGAGUUAAUGUUAUUAAGUGUUAGUUUGCAGUGAGAUCUGGUGCCUUUUCCCUGGGAUUCCUGUCCCGUUGACUUCUCUUGUUGUGAGCUCAGACUGUCUGUAUAACAUCUCGUUCUGUAAGAAAAACCCUCAAACCCAAGGACUUUGCAGCAACGUUUAAAUACACCAGUGCACUAUAGCUGGUUUUAAUUUUUUUAAUCCAGAAUGUUAAUGUGUUACAGUAUUCACUUGUUGGUGGAAUAGGGGGUUUAUGACAAACCUCUGCAUGUCUGGACCUGAAAUGAAGAGCUUGAUGUGAUAUAUGAUAUUGAUGUGAGGUAUGAGUAGGAAUGAUGUUCAGAUUGUUUUUGACAAAUGUUGAUAAAGCAAAGCAUUAUUUUA